AUUGAACGCUGGCGGCAGGCCUAACACAUGCAAGUCGAGCGGAGCGGCGGACGGGUGAGUAAUGCCAAGGAAUCUGCAUGUUAGUGGUGGAUAACGUCCGGAAACGGGCGCUAAUACCGCAUACUAUCAGCAUAGCCUAGGUCGGGUUAGCUAGUUGGUGGGGUAAAGGCCUACCAAGGCGACGACCCGUAACUGGUCUGAGAGGAUGAUCAGUCACACUGGAACUGAGACACGGUCCAGACUCCUACGGGAGGCAGCAGUGGGGAAUAUUGGACAAUGGGCGAAAGCCUGAUCCAGCCAUGCCGCGUGUGUGAAGAAGGUCUUCGGAUUGUAAAGCACUUUAAGUUGGGAGGCGUUACCAACAGAAUAAGCACCGGCUAACUUCGUGCCAGCAGCCGCGGUAAUUC
rnacentral:rRNA from 1 species